AAACAACAAACUAUAGAAGAAAUACGAAAAAUAGAAGAAACUAAAAAUAAUAGGAUUGCUGAAUUAGAAAAAGAACUACAAAUGUUAAAAGAUUUGUAUGAACAAAGACAAAAAGAAAAAGAAGAAAAAGAUAGAGAACAAAAAUUACUGAACGAGAUAAAUCAAUUUAAGAAAAAAUUGAAAAUAAAAAACAAAGAAUUAGAAAUAAAUAAUAUAGAUGUUGAAAAGACAGAUAAUUAUGAUUCAGAAGAUAGUGAAACAUAUACAGAAAUAUUAACAAAUACAAAAAAUUUAGAAAUCAAUGAAAAACAAGAAGUAAUUAAUGAAG
rnacentral:lncRNA from 1 species